rnacentral:lncRNA from 1 species
GUCUAGCUAUAUCCUCAAGACAUCUAUUAUCAUCACAACAAUCUUAGUCUAGUGCUCUCAUAUCGGAGAUCGGUCCUCUUAUGGCAUCAAGGUUACAGUGCUAUCUUGAGACGGAAGGAUACUUGUUCACGGUGAUCAUUAGUUUCCUUAAGAACCCGGGGCUCAGCGGGGUUUAUCGGGGACCUACACGUGUUCUGGCAAGUACGUGUACUAGACACGUGACCAGAAAAUUUGAGCCGGAAAGGUUUGUGGAGGUUAGUCUGGUAUAGUGUGGUUUUCCAAUCUCGAGGGGAAAACACACUCCUAUGGGUUGCGUGUGGUUAAGCGUAGCACAGUCAGUGUCUUCAGCGUCAGCCGUCCUUCGAAGCGGAUCCUUGGCGCAUCUGCCUUGCCGUCUUCAGUUGUCGAGAGGGGUGAGAGAGAGCACAGAGGGGAGUGUCUAAGGGUCUCAG